rnacentral:rRNA from 1 species
GUCGGCGUGCCUAAUACAUGCAAGUCGAACGAGUUCUGAUUAUUGAAAGGUGCUUGCAUCUUGAUUUAAUUUUGAACGAGUGGCGGACGGGUGAGUAACACGUGGGUAACCUGCCCUUAAGUGGGGGAUAACAUUUGGAAACAGAUGCUAAUACCGCAUAAAUCCAAGAACCGCAUGGUUCUUGGCUGAAAGAUGGCGUAAGCUAUCGCUUUUGGAUGGACCCGCGGCGUAUUAGCUAGUUGGUGAGGUAACGGCUCACCAAGGCAAUGAUACGUAGCCGAACUGAGAGGUUGAUCGGCCACAUUGGGACUGAGACACGGCCCAAACUCCUACGGGAGGCAGCAGUAGGGAAUCUUCCACAAUGGACGCAAGUCUGAUGGAGCAACGCCGCGUGAGUGAAGAAGGCUUUCGGGUCGUAAAACUCUGUUGUUGGAGAAGAAUGGUCGGCAGAGUAACUGUUGUCGGCGUGACGGUAUCCAACCAGAAAGCCACGGCUAACUACGUGCCAGCAGCCGCGGUAAUACGUAGGUGGCAAGCGUUAUCCGGAUUUAUUGGGCGUAAAGCGAGCGCAGGCGGUUUUUUAAGUCUGAUGUGAAAGCCCUCGGCUUAACCGAGGAAGUGCAUCGGAAACUGGGAAACUUGAGUGCAGAAGAGGACAGUGGAACUCCAUGUGUAGCGGUGAAAUGCGUAGAUAUAUGGAAGAACACCAGUGGCGAAGGCGGCUGUCUGGUCUGUAACUGACGCUGAGGCUCGAAAGCAUGGGUAGCGAACAGGAUUAGAUACCCUGGUAGUCCAUGCCGUAAACGAUGAAUGCUAGGUGUUGGAGGGUUUCCGCCCUUCAGUGCCGCAGCUAACGCAUUAAGCAUUCCGCCUGGGGAGUACGACCGCAAGGUUGAAACUCAAAGGAAUUGACGGGGGCCCGCACAAGCGGUGGAGCAUGUGGUUUAAUUCGAAGCAACGCGAAGAACCUUACCAGGUCUUGACAUCUUUUGAUCACCUGAGAGAUCAGGUUUCCCCUUCGGGGGCAAAAUGACAGGUGGUGCAUGGUUGUCGUCAGCUCGUGUCGUGAGAUGUUGGGUUAAGUCCCGCAACGAGCGCAACCCUUAUGACUAGUUGCCAGCAUUUAGUUGGGCACUCUAGUAAGACUGCCGGUGACAAACCGGAGGAAGGUGGGGAUGACGUCAAAUCAUCAUGCCCCUUAUGACCUGGGCUACACACGUGCUACAAUGGAUGGUACAACGAGUUGCGAGACCGCGAGGUCAAGCUAAUCUCUUAAAGCCAUUCUCAGUUCGGACUGUAGGCUGCAACUCGCCUACACGAAGUCGGAAUCGCUAGUAAUCGCGGAUCAGCACGCCGCGGUGAAUACGUUCCCGGGCCUUGUACACACCGCCCGUCACACCAUGAGAGUUUGUAACACCCGAAGCCGGUGGCGUAACCCUUUUAGGGAGCGAG